UUUCUAUUUUUACCAUCCUCUUCAAAAUAAUUGUCUUCUUCAAAAAUAUCGAUAUCUUCAACAUGAUCUUCCAUAUUGAUUUCUCUAUCUUGUCUUUUAAAAAUCUUCACUCGCUUCUUAGCAAUAGGUAUUUUCAACUUCGUACCAUCUCACUUCCUUAAUGAAUAUGUGGCAUUAUCAUGAACCAUUACUACUACAUAUGGUCGAAACUAAUAUUUUGAAAACUUUCACAAAAUACUAUGUUGGUUAUUCAGACUACUAUCAUAAACAAGUACCCAAUCAACUUCUUCAAUUGCUCUAGGCCUCAAUAGAUAAUGCUUAUCAAAUCGAGUCUUAUUUCCUAACCUUGCUUUUUGUAACUUUUUU
rnacentral:lncRNA from 1 species